CAGUACAGCUGUGCCAGUGAGG
rnacentral:miRNA from 1 species